rnacentral:rRNA from 1 species
UACGGGGGGGGCAAGCGUUGUUCGGAAUUACUGGGCGUAAAGGGCUCGUAGGUGGCCAACUAAGUCAGACGUGAAAUCCCUCGGCUUAACCGGGGAACUGCGUCUGAUACUGGAUGGCUUGAGUUUGGGAGAGGGAUGCGGAAUUCCAGGUGUAGCGGUGAAAUGCGUAGAUAUCUGGAGGAACACCCGUAGCGAAGGCGGCACUCUGGGCCGUGACUGACGCUGAGGAGCGAAAGCGUGGGGAGCAAACAGG